UUACCUGGGCUCGAACGUAAGAUGACUGUAGGUGAAAGCUUACAUCUCUUCGGAGCAUUUUACGAGGUGCUGCAUGGUUGUCGUCAGCUCGUGCCGUGAGGUGUCGGGUUAAGUCCCAUAACGAGCGCAACCCCUACCUUUAGCUGCCAUCAGGUUAAGCUGGGGACUCUAAAGGAACUGCCUACGCAAGUAGUGAGGAAGGCGGGGAUGACGUCAAAUCAGCACGGCCCUUACGUCCAGGACUACACACGUGCUACAAUGGCCGAUACAGAGGGCAGCUACCUGGUGACAGGAUGCAAAUCUCCAAAGUCGGUCUCAGUUCGGAUCGGAGUCUGCAACCCGACUCCGUGAAGUUGGAUUCGCUAGUAAUCGCGCAUCAGCCAUGGCGCGGUGAAUACGUUCCCGGGCCUU
rnacentral:rRNA from 1 species